UAACAGCUCAAAUUUGAAAUCUGGCUCCUGCGGAGUCCGAGUUGUAAUUUGUAGAAGAUGCUUUCCGAGGGAGGCUCGGCCUAAGUUCCUUGGAACAGGACAUCAGAGAGGGUGAGAAUCCCGUAUGUGGCCGUGGCCUCCGCCCGUGUAAAGCUCUUUCGACGAGUCGAGUUGUUUGGGAAUGCAGCUCAAAAUGGGUGGUAAAUUUCAUCUAAAGCUAAAUAUUGGCCAGAGACCGAUAGCGCACAAGUAGAGUGAUCGAAAGAUGAAAAGCACUUUGGAAAGAGAGUUAAACAGUACGUGAAAUUGUUGAAAGGGAAGCGCUUGCACCCAGACUUGGGCGUCGUCGUCUCAUCCGAGGUUCUCCUCGGUGCACUCGGCGAGGCACAGGCCAGCAUCGGUUUGGAUGGUUGGAGAAAGGCUCUAGGAACGUAGCUCUCUUCGGGGAGUGUUAUAGCCUAGGGCGUAAUGCAGCCCAUCUGGACCGAGGACCGCGCCUUCGGGCUAGGAUGCUGGCGUAAUGGUUGCAAGCGACCCG
rnacentral:rRNA from 1 species